rnacentral:ncRNA from 1 species
GAAAGCCGUAUGCAAUGAAAAAUACAAGCACGGUUUAGGGAGAGAUCAUUUUCUCUUAUUCAAAGACAGAGAUUAUCUACUCUAU